rnacentral:rRNA from 1 species
GGUAGUAGUCAAGCGAAGGGGUGACGCAGGAAGGUAGCCGUACCAGUCAGUGGUAACACUGGGGCAAGCCGGUAGGGAGAGCGAUAGGCAAAUCCGUCGCUCACUAAUCCUGAGAGGUGACGCAUAGCCGGUUGAGGCGAAUUCGGUGAUCCUCUGCUGCCAAGAAAAGCCUCUAGCGAGCACACACACGGCCCGUACCCCAAACCGACACAGGUGGUCAGGUAGAGCAUACCAAGGCGUACGAGAUAACUAUGGUUAAGGAACUCGGCAAAAUGCCCCCGUAACUUCGGGAGAAGGGGGACCGGAAUAUCGUGAACACCCUUGCGGUGGGAGCGGGAUCCGGUCGCAGAAACCAGUGAGGAGCGACUGUUUACUAAAAACACAGGUCCGUGCGAAGUCGCAAGACGAUGUAUACGGACUGACGCCUGCCCGGUGCUGGAAGGUUAAGAGGACCCGUUAACCCGCAAGGGUGAAGCGGAGAAUUUAAGCCCCAGUAAACGGCGGUGGUAACUAUAACCAUCCUAAGGUAGCGAAAUUCCUUGUCGGGUAAGUUCCGACCUGCACGAAUGGCGUAACGACUUCUCAACUGUCUCAACCAUAGACUCGGCGAAAUUGCACUACGAGUAAAGAUGCUCGUUACGCGCGGCAGGACGAAAAGACCCCGGGACCUUCACUACAACUUG